AUGGCCGAAUAGGAACAGCUCCGGUCUACAGCUCCCAGCAUGAGCGACGCAGAAGACGGGUGAUUUCUGCAUUUCCAUCUGAGGUAGCGGGUUCAUCUCACUAGGGAGUGCCAGACAGUGGGCGCAGGUCAGUGGGAUACUCAAACUUGAAACCAACCUACCUUAUCGUGAGGAAGCCCGGUUCAAAUGGAGAGGCCAAUGUAGGUGUACAACAGACAGUCCCCCCUGAAAGGCCCAGCUUGCACACAACAUCACUGCCAGACGAAUGAGAAGGGCCUUAUGAUGAUUCCAGCAUCAAACAUUUGACUUGGCCAGCUUUUGCUGAACUGCAUGUUAAAUGGGCUCUUGCUAUAUUUGGCCUGACUGGUCUUGAACUCCUGGACUCAAGUGAUGCUCCUGCCUCGACCUUCCAAAGUGCUGGGACUACAAGCAUAAGCCACUGUGCCUAGCUACUUGCUGUGUUUUAAAGGUAUGGAGUACUGGGACUGUAAUUACUUUCAUGGAUUUUGAGGUUUUCUUUAGAAAGCAUCAUGUCUUUAUAUUAUUUCUGACUCUUUUGAAUACUAAAGGAAAAAUGACAAAAAUGAUUUUAUUUGUAAUUAAUUUUUAUUUUUUAUAUUAACACGUAUAUAUUUUAAAUGCAAACUUUUGUUUAAAAGCUUAUAACAGAGGAUUAUUUCGGUUCUCCAUUCCCCUCUUUCACACAAGGAAAUUGGAUUCUGCUUUUCAGUCCACUGCUUUCAACCCUUUUAAAAAAUUGUUCAAAAGAGUGGCUGGCUUUUACUUUUCUAUUUAUUUAUAAUUUCAAUGUUCCUAUAGUCAGUCAUUAAUAUUAUUUUGAUAUUAUCUAUUGAUUCUUUGUUAUUAUUACAGUUGUAUAGUCCCACAUAUUAUUUUCGAGAACCCCUAGAUUUAUUUCUAUUCAUUUAAUCUCACUUUUUGUCAAGCCAUCUUUUAAGAGUUUUUCAAGAAGGGUACUAGGGAAUAAAUUUUUGAUAAUUCAUUUUUCUGAAAUUAGCUUUAUUUCUUUCUUUUCCUAGGUUUAAGGUUUCUGUAGUUUUAAGGUUUUAAGAUUAAAAUAAUUUCACCUCAGACUUAUGAAGGCAGUGCUCCAGUCAAACCUGAUUCCCAUACUGCAGUUUCAGAGUGAGAGAGAAGG